GAUGAACGCUGGCGGCGUGCCUAAUACAUGCAAGUCGAGCGAACGGACGAGAAGCUUUCUUCUCUGAUGUUAGCGGCGGACGGGUGAGUAACACGUGGAUAACCUACCUAUAAGACUGGGAUAACUUCGGGAAACCGGAGCUAAUACCGGAUAAUAUUUUGAACUGCAUGGUUCAAAAGUGAAAGACGGUCUUGCUGUCACUUAUAGAUGGAUCCGCGCUGCAUUAGCUAGUUGGUAAGGUAACGGCUUACCAAGGCAACGAUGCAUAGCCGACCUGAGAGGGUGAUCGGCCACACUGGAACUGAGACACGGUCCAGACUCCUACGGGAGGCAGCAGUAGGGAAUCUUCCGCGAUGGGCGAAAGCCUGACGGAGCAACGCCGCGUGAGUGAUGAAGGUCUUCGGAUCGUAAAACUCUGUUAUUAGGGAAGAACAUAUGUGUAAGUAACUGUGCACAUCUUGACGGUACCUAAUCAGAAAGCCACGGCUAACUACGUG
rnacentral:rRNA from 1 species